UACGAAGGGGGCUAGCGUUGUUCGGAAUUACUGGGCGUAAAGCGCGCGCAGGCGGCUAUCCAAGUCAGUGGUGAAAGCCCGGAGCUCAACUCCGGAACUGCCAUUGAAACUGUUUAGCUUGAGGAUGAGAGAGGUGAGUGGAAUUCCCAGUGUAGAGGUGAAAUUCGUAGAUAUUAGGAAGAACACCAGUGGCGAAGGCGGCUCACUGGUCCGGUACUGACGCUGAGGUGCGAAAGCGUGGGGAGCAAACAGG
rnacentral:rRNA from 1 species